rnacentral:rRNA from 1 species
AGCAGCCGCGGUAAUUCCAGCUCCAAUAGCGUAUAUUAAAGUUGUUGCAGUUAAAAAGCUCGUAGUUGAAUUUCGGGAUUGACACAUCGGUCGUGCCUUAAGGGGUGUGAACUGGUGUAGUCAAUUUCUCACCUUCUGGAGAACCGCGAUGUCCUUAAUUGGGUGCCGCGAGGAACCAGGACCUUUACUUUGAAAAAUUAGAGUGUUUAAAGCAGGCAUUUUUGCUUGAAUACAUUAGCAUGGAAUAAUAAAAUAGGACGGCAUGAUUCUAUUUUGUUGGUUUCUAGGAUCACCGUAAUGAUUAAUAGGGAUAGUUGGGGCAUUAGUAUUCAAUUGUCAGAGGUGAAAUUCUUGGAUUUAUUGAAGACUAACUACUGCGAAAAGCAUUUGCCAAGGAUGUUUUCAUUAAUACAAGAACGAAAGUUAGGGGAUCGAAGACGAUCAGAUACCGUCGUAGUCUUAACCAUAAACUAUAGCCGACUAGGGAUCGGAUGAUGUUAA